CCCUGUUGCCUGCUGUUCUCUUACCCAUGCUAGUUUAACCUGCUGUCUGUAUUCAUAUCCCCCAGCUGAGAAGCAUCACUUCCCAUUCCUGAUGCAGCUCAGAGGAUGCAAAACUCUCCAGCCAGCACACACGUCCUGAGGCAGCAUCUUUGUCUUUUGAGAAAGAAUACAGCUUUUUAUUCUGAAAACAAUAUAAAUCACUCCACUGAUACGUACUUGCUAUUUCCUUUGUUAUUUCCUCAGUACAUGUCCUCUCCUUUGUAAACUACAAUGCUGUGAACCUUGUGCAGCUCCUCUGUGCAAACCUGCUUUGCUUUGUGCCGAAUGAAUACAGAGCCAGGAGAGAAAGACUUCCCUGCCUGCCAGGGCCCGUGCCAGGAAGCUCCUGUUGGAUCAGCUGCUGCCAACACACCUGGACCGGGAGAAGCCAAACCCCCUGGGUGUAAUUAACAACAUGCUGCACGGCUGAAGGGCCAGCUCAGAUGACUGUGCUCCAAACUGCUGCUCACAGGUCACAUCCCUUCCUUCAGAAGGAGAUGGCCCUGGCAAGGACGCAGGGAAGGAUCAGAUGUACCCACAUGUGGCUGCCCUACUGCAUAGUAGGAGGUUUGGAGGGAGCCCCAUGUCCUGCCUGUGGGCCACUAUCCAGAUCCAGGAGCUGCCUGAGGUGCCAAGAGUGAUGCCCUGAAGGGUCCCUGCUGGUGGCUUCUUUCCAGUUCCAGAAUUCCAUCAGAAAUCCAUUACCCAAUGCAUAAAAAUCCAUGGAUUUGUAAUAGGAAGAGCCUCCUAAAGCUCAGAAAAUACAGCCUGGAUGUCUCCAUAAAUCCUGAUGCAUGUGAUUAAAAAGCCUGAUGGAGGGAGCAUGCCUCAGUUCUUCACAGGGUCAUUCUGGACACAUGGUGUUUUCUGCAGAAUUGCCAUUAAUUAAAGGUGUGCUGACCCCAGCAGGGUUUUCAUCCCUGCUUGAACAGGACCUGCUGUGUGCACAAG